UAAGAUGUAGCAUAAUUAUAAUGCUUUUCGCUUACACUGAAAAAAUGCUUAGAGGAUUAAGCUAUCUUAA
rnacentral:tRNA from 1 species